AAUAGAUAACAUCGUUGAUUUUUUCUUAUAUGUUUGACCAUUCAUUUUAUUUAAAAAAUUUAUGUAAUUAUAAUUUAUUUUAUUAUGAGUUGUUUUAUCACUUAUAGUACUUUAAGUGUGAUUUAUAUCUUUUACAUUUGCAUAAAAUUUUUGAAUAAAACGAAUGGUCAAACGUAUGAGAAAAAGUCAACGGCGUCAUCUAUU
rnacentral:pre_miRNA from 1 species